GCCUCCGUAGCUCAACUGGAGAGAGCAUCCGGUUUCUACCCGGACGGUUGCGGGUUCGACUCCUGCCGGGGGCA
rnacentral:tRNA from 1 species